rnacentral:rRNA from 1 species
GAUGAACGCUGGCGGCGUGCCUAAUACAUGCAAGUCGAACGCAUUGAGAGAAGUGCUUGCACUUUUCAAUUUGAGUGGCGAACGGGUGAGUAACACGUGGGCAACCUACCUGAUAGCGGGGGAUAACGAGUGGAAACAUUCGCUAAUACCGCAUAACAAUAGAGAAGGCAUCUUCUUUAUUUAAAAGGCGCUUUCAAGCGUCACUAUCAGAUGGGCCCGCGGUGCAUUAGUUAGUUGGUGGGGUGAAGGCCUACCAAGACGAUGAUGCAUAGCCGAGUUGAGAUACUGAUCGGCCACAUUGGGACCGGGACACGGCCCAAACUCCUACGGGAGGCUGCAGUAGGGAAUCUUCCACAAUGGACGAAAGUCUGAUGGAGCAACGCCGCGUGUGUGAUGAAGGCUUUCGGGUCGUAAGCACUGUUGUAUGUGAAGAAAUGCUAGGCUAGGAAAUGAGCUUAGUUUGACGGUACCAUACCAGAAAGGGACGGCUAAAUACGUGCCAGCCGCCGCGGUAA